UACGAAGGGGGCUAGCGUUGCUCGGAAUCACUGGGCGUAAAGCGCACGUAGGCGGAUUGUUAAGUCAGGGGUGAAAUCCUGGAGCUCAACUCCAGAACUGCCUUUGAUACUGGCGAUCUCGAGGCCGGGAGAGGUGAGUGGAACUGCGAGUGUAGAGGUGAAAUUCGUAGAUAUUCGCAAGAACACCAGUGGCGAAGGCGGCUCACUGGCCCGGUACUGACGCUGAGGUGCGAAAGCGUGGGGAGCAAACAGG
rnacentral:rRNA from 1 species